GGUUCCGGUGCCGUCGGCGCCCUACCAAGACAAGAAACGGGGGAAAUGACCCCUACCAAGCCCCACCCCUCCCGCCCGAGGCGCUUCGUCACUCGGGCGGGUGAACAUCACCGGUUGAGCUGGAUUUCGGGGCCCUCAACUCCCCUACUCUCAGCGCAAACAAACACAUCUGAAAAGGCAUCGGCCCCCGCUGGGACUGGCAUCCCGGUGCGAGGGCCUAACCACCAAGGAAGAAGAGAGCUUCCCG
rnacentral:ncRNA from 13 species